GGAUCUGGGGUUUCUCCCACAUGUUAUUCUUGAAAAGAAAGGAUCAAAAUAUAAAAGCUAUCGUAACAUAUCGUAUUUCUGAUGGAAUUGCCCUGAAAACAAAUAGAAUCCAAGUCUGGAGAUGGAAGAGGAGACUGCCUCUACAAAUCAUCUUUCUCUGCAGAAAGUUUCUGCUGCCCCAACCUGCUUCUCUCUACUGAGGCCUGGAGCAGAGGCCAGGAGCCACAGGAGCACUGUGGAGGAUCUGAUUUC